UGAUGUGAGCAUGGUUUGACUGCACGGCUAUCUCCCCACUGGUUGCCAGCAUGGGCCUGGCUGGUCUGCCUGGUCAGGCAGGUGUCCCUUUCCCCUCUCUCCACUUCUCACAGUGUGUGUCUGGUUGACGAGGAGGACCAUUCUUAGGCAGGGUCUUAGAAGGCGUACCCUGUAGCUGCACUCCUGUGUUAGCUCUCAUGACAGGUCCUGUGUAGUAACUGGAACCCUGCUUCAUGGCUGGGAGGCAGGUAAAAUGCUGUUGCUCUAGAAAACUUGGCAGUUACU
rnacentral:snRNA from 1 species